AGCGAACUUUGGCGGUAGGCUUUACACAUGCAAGUCGAGCGAGGCGUAAUAGUCGAGCGGCGAACGGGUGAGUAAUACAUGGGAAUCUACCCUGAAGUGGGGGAUAACGUUCAGAAAUGAACGCUAAUACCGCACAAUCCACAUUGGGAAAGCGCGCUGCGCUUUAGGAUGAGCCCAAGCCUGAUUAGCUAGUUGGUGGGGUAACGGCCCACCAAGGCGACGAUCAGUAGCUGGUCUGAGAGGAUGAUCAGCCACACUGGAACUGAGACACGGUCCAGACUCCUACGGGAGGCAGCAGUGGGGAAUCUUGCGCAAUGGGGGCAGCCCUGACGCAGCCAUACCGCGUGUGCGAUGAAGGUCUUCGGAUUGUAAAGCACUUUCAGUAGGGACGACGAUGACGGUACCUACAGAAGAAGUCACGGCUAACUUCGUGCCAGCCGCCGCCGUAA
rnacentral:rRNA from 1 species